GUUCACCUUUUGGUUAAAAUCUGAUUAUAUGUCUGUGUUGUUAUAUAACGUAUAAUAGUAUAUACAACAGGUAUGAUAACAUUGGUAUUUUAGUUUGGACAACAUAUUAUUUAGAUAAAAAUGUUUGAAACCAACAUACAAAACCACUGCUAGAGAAAACUCAGUCACAGUCACCAUUAACAAACCAUUAAAUGCAAAUUUUACCUCAAUCAAUUCCAAACUGGCUGCUUAUUAAUAGUUAGUAAGGUAGUUGAUAAGUUUAGGUAUUGAGUAGGAUUAUGGAUGUAGAAUAUGGUCAUGCAGAAUAUGUGCUUUUUAAGUACUAAUAAACAGCCAAUAUGUUAAUAAUAGGCUUGCUAAUAAGCAGCUAUUUACUAGUGAGAAUUGGUCCCUAUAUUAAAGAGGUCAUACAGUAUGAUGUGAUUUCAAUUUUUCCUUUCUCUUUGGAGUGUUACAGGCUCUUGGUGCAUAAAGAAGAUAAUGCCGGUGUCUGUUUCUAUAAAGUGGGGCAAUUCGAACUUUGCAAGGACAGUCUGGCGCUUCUGACACAAGCUCUACCAGUACUAUCCUGAGACUGACAGAAGAGGUAGAACUUCUCUAUAUACACAGAGCACAGCAACGCAAUGCAACGCAACGCAACUCAACGUAAAGAGAAACAGAUUGCCGGUGAGGUAUCAUGGAGUCUGCCAACCCAUUCAUGAUGUAUUGAGAUUCACUCUGACACUAAUUACUUAAAUUAACAGUAGAGUUUGGUGUGACAGUUCAGGUAACUAUUUUUCUAUCAGUUUCAGAUGAAUGGUUGGGGGAGUUGCUUGAAGGAUGCUGUUGACAAUUGGAUUCUCAACGUAUCUGCUACAAUCAAUUUUUUUCCCUCCUCCCCUCUUUCCCCUCUCCCUCCCCUGUUUCUCUCCUCUCCCCCUCUCUCCAUCUGUGAUGUGAGGGGGGCAUUGACACAACCACAGCAAUUAAGAUGUUAUGAGUUUAUGUGUGUGACACCACAGAUAUUGUCUUAAAAUAUCACAAGGUCUCAGAUGAACCUGCAACAUGACUACACUUGCUCAUGUAUAGAGAUUGUUCAUGUUCUGUCAAUGCACUGCAUAUAAGAUAAUGGCUACGUCAGGCAAUAAAGAUUAGUUUCCAAAUGGAGUACAAAAACAAUUUUAAAUGUUUAGUGGGGGAACACAUGGAACACACCGAAAGGACCCUAUGAAAUUGCUUGAUAAACUGUUUUUUUUUCCUAUGUUGAUGUAUUUUCUAUUAAAACAAGGACAUUUUGAAAGCUUUUUUAGUUAUUUUAUAAGCAUAAACAGAUUUCCUACUUGGUAGUCAGUGUAAACAUCUUUGUAGUGCAGGAUGAGUCAAUACUUUUGGCCUGCUUUUCUGGAAAGAGAAAGAUUGUACAUUAAAUGUGUAAAUCUGCAUAGUUAUAUAUAUUUCUGAAAAGCUAACACACAUGGAUUAAAACUCCCCUUUAAAAAAAACAAAGGGACUUUAAGGUGUUAUAAUUGCAAUACAAAUGAAAGCAUUAAAUUGAUCAAAAGUGACAAACUUAGUAAACGUAAAAGCCGUUACUAUUUAAAAUAAAUGCUUUCUAUUCAAAUAAUCCAGAAAAAUAAUGUAUCACAUUUCUCACAAAAAUAUAAAGACAGAAUAAUGGAUCAUAAGAAAUGUUUUUUAAGCACAUCAGCAUAUUAGAAUGAUUUCUGAAGACUGGAGACUGGUUUUAAAAUAGAAAAUUAUUUAAAAUGUACAAAUAUUUCAUAAUAUUACUGGUUUUACUGUAUUUUUCAUCAAAUAAAUGCAGUCUUGGUGAGCAUAAGUGACUUCUUUGAAAAACAUUAAAAAAUAUUACCAAUCCCAAAUGUUUGAAUGAUAGUGUAUCUAUUAUAUUAUAUUAUAUUAUAUUAUAUUAUAUUAUAUUAUAUUAUAUUAUAUUAUAUUAUAUUAUAUUAUAU
rnacentral:lncRNA from 1 species